AAACGGACCCCUGGAAUAUCCUGGAACAGAGGUCUGGAGUGCACACACGCUCGUUACGCAAUGCAUGUAUACUCGGACUGUGUUAACCUAUUUUCAUAUCUUCCCAUUCUCCAGUUGUUUGGGCCAACCGUGUUCUGUGUGUCGUAUAGGAUGGGGACGAUGAGGACAAGCUCCUCGGUGAAGUGACAGGCUCUACUACCUUGUGAUGGACAUGUAGCUGUGGAGAUGAGGUCUUGUUUCCCAUCACUACCUCCAUUCCUCUACCCUCCCAUCUGUCAGUCCCUCGGGAAUCUGGGUCCUGGAGUCUGAUGCCUCACAUGAUGGAACCACAUCCUGCUACUUCUCAGACUCCUCCACAGGAGGGACGGACAUCCAGAUGGUGCCUUCUCUCUGUGUGAAAAGGUCAGCCUCCCAGGUCCCAUCUGAGCUCGGGCCCCGAGGCACCUACAGUCCCAGAGUCCCA